UGGGGGAGGACGCAGCGAGGUAGACCAGCCCACGAUUGGUUGUGUGGGUGCACCAGAUGUCAGACGUUGGGAGCCGUAGGAAAAUCCGCGGUUUGAGUUGAGAUCUGGUGGCGUGCCCUUGAGGUAGAAGUGAGUUAAGCCUUGCUGCCGAGAAAAGUCACUAAGCGUUGAGUCUAGAGUGCCCGUACCGCAAACCGACACUGGUAGAUGGGUAGAGUAUACCAAGGCGAACGGGAGAACCCUCGUUAAGGAGUUAGGCAACAUAGCCCCGUAACUUCGGGAGAAGGGGUGCCUCUAAACGUGAAAGUUUACUUGAGCGUUGUGAGGUCGCAGUGAAAUGGCUCUAGUGACUGGUUAACAAAACCACAGGUCUCUGCUAAGCCGUAAGGCUAAGUAUAGGGGCUGACACCUGCCCAGUGCCGGAAGGUUAAAGGGAGAGGUUAGACGCAAGUCGAAGCUUUGAACUGAAGCCCCGGUGAACGGCGGCCGUAACUAUAACGGUCCUAAGGUAGCGAAAUUCCUUGUCGGGUAAGUUCCGACCCGCACGAACGGUGUAACAACUAGAGCACUGUCUCAACGAGGGACCCGGCGAAAUUGAAAUGGCUGUGAAGAUGCGGCCUACCCGCAGCAGGACAAAAAGACCCCGUGGAGCUUUACUGCAUCUUGGCAUUGAGUUUGGGCAAGAUUUGUGUAGCAUAGGUGGGAGGCUGUGAAACUGGAGCGCCAGCUUCGGUGGAGCCACCGGUGAAAUACCACCCUAAUCUUGUUUAGACCCUAACCCCACACCGUCAUCCGGGUGGGGGACCGUGCCAGGUGGGCAGUUUGACUGGGGCGGUCGCCUCCUAAAAGGUAACGGAGGCGCCCAAAGGUUCCCUCAGGCAGAAUGGAAACCUGCCAAAGAGUGUAAAGGCAUAAGGGAGCUUGACUGCAAGACCAACGCGUCGAGCAGAGACGAAAGUCGGGCUUAGUGAUCCCACGGUACUGAGUGGAAGGGCCGUGGCUUACCGGACAAAAGCUACCCCGGGGAUAACAGGCUGGUGAAAUCCAAGAGUUCAUAUCGACGAUUUCGCUCGGCACCUCGAUGUCGGCUCAUCGCAUCCUGGGGCUGUAUCAGGUCCCAAGGGUCGGGCUGUUCGCCCGUUAAAGCGGUACGCGAGCUGGGUUCAGACCGUCGUGAGACAGGUCGGUCUCUAUCCGCUGUGGGCGUAAGGGAUUUGAGUGGAGCUGCCCCUAGUACGAGAGGACCGGGGUGGACUGACCUAUGGUGUUCCAGUUGUCGUGCCAACGGCAUCGCUGGGUAGCUAAGUCAGGCAGAGAUAACCGCUGAAUGCAUCUAAGUGGGAAACUCGCCACAAGAUUAGAUCCCUGUUUUCCCGUAAGGGAGUAAGAUCACAGGUAGACUACCUGUUUGAUAGGCGGAGUGUGUAAGCACAGCAAUGUGUUUAGCUUAUCCGUACUAAUGAUCGAGGGCUUCUUCAU
rnacentral:rRNA from 1 species